rnacentral:rRNA from 1 species
CAUACAUUUAAAGAGUGCGUAAUAGCUCACUAGUCGAGAGGACCUGCGCCGAAAAUAAUCGGGGCUAAAACACACCACCGAAGCUACGGAUUUGUUACGAGGUAACAAGUGGUAGAGGAGCAUACCGCGAGGAAGAAGCCUGAUUGAGAGAGAAGGUGGACGAAGCGGUAGAGAGAAUGCCGGAAUGAGUAGCGAGAUAUAUGUGAGAACCAUAUAGGCCGAAUAUCUAAGGUUUCCUGAGUGAAGCUAAUCUACUCAGGGUAAGUCGGGGCCUAAGGCGAGGACGGAAGUCGUAGUCGAUGGAUAACUGGUGGAGAUUCCAGUACUAUGUAUGAUCAGAACUGUGGGGACGCAGGAGGAUAGACGGACCGCGGAAAGGGAAGACGCGGCCAAGCGCAAAGUCGAGUUUAGCAGGAAAAACCGUUAAAUGAUGAUGAAGCGCGACGGGGACUGAACGAGAGUAGGGAAGUCGUUGAAUCCACACUGCCGAGAAAAGCCGCUAUAGCGUCAUACAUACCCGUACCGCAAACCGACACAGGUAGAUGAGGAGAAAAUCCACAGGCCGACGGGAGAAGUGUUGUUAAGGAACUCGGCAAAAUGACCCCGUAACUUAGGGAGAAGGGGAGCCGCGAGAAGCGGCCGCAGAGAAUAGGCUCAAGCAACUGUUUAGCAAAAACACAGGUCUCUGCGAAACCGAAAGGUGAAGUAUAGGGGCUGACACCUGCCCGGUGCUGGAAGGUUAAAAGGAGAGGUUCGGAGAAAUCCAAAGCUUUGAAUUCAAGCCCCAGUAAACGGCGGCCGUAACUAUAACGGUCCUAAGGUAGCGAAAUUCCUUGUCAGGUAAGUUCUGACCCGCACGAAAGGUGUAAUGAUUUGAGCACUGUCUCGACAACACGCCCGGUGAAAUUGAAGAACCAGUGAAGAUACUGGUUACCCGCAACAGGACGGAAAGACCCCAUGGAGCUUUACUGCAGCCUGAUACUGGGAUUCGAUGAUGUAUGUACAGGAUAGGAGGGAGACUAAGAAGGCAGUACGCCAGUAUUGCCGGAGUCGACGGUGGGAUACCUCUCUUAUGUCAUUGGGUUUCUAACCAGAGUCCGUAAUCCGGACUUGGGACAAUGUCAGGCGGGCAGUUUGACUGGGGCGGUCGCCUCCAAAAGAGUAACGGAGGCGCUCGAAGGUCUUCUCAGAAUGAUUGGAAACCAUUCAAAGAGUGUAAAGGCAAAAGAAGGCUUGACUGCGAGGCCGACGGGCCGAGCAGAUACGAAAGUAGGACUUAGUGAUCCGGUGGUAAUACGUGGGAAUGCCAUCGCUCAACGGAUAAAAGCUACCCUGGGG